rnacentral:rRNA from 1 species
GACGAACGCUGGCGGCGUGCUUAACACAUGCAAGUCGAACGGAAAGGCCCUGCUUUUGUGGGGUGCUCGAGUGGCGAACGGGUGAGUAACACGUGAGUAACCUGCCCUUGACUUUGGGAUAACUUCAGGAAACUGGGGCUAAUACCGGAUAGGAGCUCCUGCUGCAUGGUGGGGGUUGGAAAGUUUCGGCGGUUGGGGAUGGACUCGCGGCUUAUCAGCUUGUUGGUGGGGUAGUGGCUUACCAAGGCUUUGACGGGUAGCCGGCCUGAGAGGGUGACCGGCCAAAUUGGGACUUGGGAACCGCCCAGACUCCUACGGGGGGGAGGAGUUGGGAAUAUUUCACAAUGGGCCGAAGGCUGAUGCAGCAACGCCGGGGUCGGGAUGACCGCCUUCGGGUUGUAAACCGCUUUCGCCUGUGACGAAGCGUGAGUGACGGUAAUGGGUAAAGAAGCACCGGCUAACUACGUG